GACAGAGGGUGCAAACGUUGUUCGGAAUUACUGGGCGUAAAGCGAGUGUAGGCGGUUUGAUAAGUCGGAUGUGAAAGCCCCGGGCUCAACCCGGGAAGUGCACUCGAUACUGUCAAGCUAGAGUACUGGAGAGGUUGGUGGAAUUCUCGGUGUAGAGGUGAAAUUCGUAGAUAUCGAGAGGAACACCGGUGGCGAAGGCGGCCACCUGGACGGAUACUGACGCUGAGACGCGAAAGCGUGGGGAGCAAACAGG
rnacentral:rRNA from 1 species